ACGCUGGCGGCACGCCUAACACAUGCAAGUCGAACGAAGUAGCAAUACUUAGUGGCAGACGGGUGAGUAACAUGUAGGUAUCUACCCUUUGGCCUGGAAUAACACGAGGAAACUUGUGCUAAUACUGGAUAAGUCUUCACGGAGAAAGCUUUAUGCACCAUUGGAUGAGCCUGCACUUGAUUAGUUAGUUGGUAGGGUAAUGGCCUACCAAGACUUUGAUCAAUAGCUGAUUUGAGAGGAUGAUCAGCCACAUUGGGACUGAGACACGGCCCAAACUCCUACGGGAGGCAGCAGUGGGGAAUCUUGCACAAUGGAGGAAACUCUGAUGCAGCGAUGCCGCGUGAGUGAAGAAGGCCUUUGGGUUGUAAAGCUCUUUCGUCGGGGAAGAAAAUGACUGUACCCGAAUAAGAAGGUCCGGCUAACUUCGUGCCAGCAGCCGCGGUAAUACGAAGGGACCUAGCGUAGUUCGGAAUUACUGGGCUUAAAGAGUUCGUAGGUGGUUGAAAAAGUUGGUGGUGAAAUCCCAGAGCUUAACUCUGGAACUGCCAUCAAAACUUUUCAGCUAGAGUUUGAUAGAGGAAAGCAGAAUUUCUAGUGUAGAGGUGAAAUUCGUAGAUAUUAGAAAGAAUACCAAUUGCGAAGGCAGCUUUCUGGAUCAUUACUGACACUGAGGAACGAAAGCAUGGGUAGCGAAGAGGAUUAGAUACCCUCGUAGUCCAUGCCGUAAACGAUGUGUGUUAGACGUUGGAAAUUUAUUUUCUGUGUCGCAGCGAAAGCGAUAAACACACCGCCUGGGGAGUACGACCGCAA
rnacentral:rRNA from 1 species